GCCGAAGUGGAGGAACGGUAGACUCGCAACGUUCAGGGCGUUGUGGCCGAAAGGCCGUGAGGGUUCAAAUCCCUCCUUCGGCA
rnacentral:tRNA from 1 species